GUCGGGAUAGCUCAGUCGGUAGAGCAGAGGACUGAAAAUCCUCGUGUCACCAGUUC
rnacentral:tRNA from 1 species